CAAAACAUAACCUGGUUAUAUUGGUGUGCUUUUUCUGGACAAAUAUAUGAACGAGCCCCUUUAACAAUCCACAUACGGACGAACAAACUUACCAAACAACCUACGGGAACACUUGAUUGGAUAAGAUAAGUGAGAAAGAUAUAUUACACUAGUACGCCUACUCGGGACAGCUACAGUACAAAUCACACCACAACGUAGUCCUCGUCACGACAAAAUGCCGCAGAACACAAGGAAACGGUCUAGCCAGGGAGGGGAAUUAUCGGGGGAGAAGAAGAGCAAACGUGGGGAGGAGGAUAAUGAGGCUGAGCCGGAGUUGUACACCACCGUCCCACCACAACCCAAAGUGAAGAAACCCGGCCAGCUCACAGAGAAACAACUCAAACACUAUUUCAACGAGGGCUAUCUACUUGUUCCUGAUUUCUUCAAACCGUCUGAGCUGGAUCCCGUGAGGGAAGGGAUAGCGGAAGCCGUGGAUCUUAUGGCCAACAAACUUUACAAUGCUGGCAAGAUCAAAGACAAAUGUAGCGACGCUGGUUUCUUCCAGCGCAUGAUACUCAUCGAGAAACAGUUCCCCGGCGCUGCUGUGUUGCUUCACAAGACCGGAUAUCUUCCUCAGAGCUUUCGUGAUUUGUGGUCCAACGAGCGUUUGCUGAAUGUCAUGGAGCAGUUGAUUGGUCCAGAGAUAGCCGGUCAUCCUGUCUGGAAUCUCAGAGUCAAGACACCUAAACAUGAACAGUCAACAGUUCCCUGGCACCAAGACAAUGCAUACUUGGAUCCGGAAGCUCUCCAUGUAUUGCAGCCCACAGCAUGGAUACCAAUGUUAGAUGUCAACAAAGAGAAUGGAUGUAUGCAGGUCAUACCUCGUGGGCAUCGGAAGGGCAUCACAGCCACCCAUACCUGCUGUGUGGGAGGGACUUGGUAUGUUCAAAUCAAGGAUUGUGAUGUAAUGAAAACGUCACUAGGUGUGGAUGUCAAAGAUGCGGUUACCAUGGACAUGCCCUACGGCGGAGUUCUGUUCAUGAAUAACGCGAUACCGCAUCAGAGCUUGGAGAACCACUCUGACAAAGUGCGCUGGAGCCUCGACCUCCGCUGGCAGAGGCCGGACAAACCAAACGGUUUCUAUGGCAUCAAGGAGAGCGUGCUCAUGCGCACACCAAAGGAUCCUAAUCACGUGAUCGACUUUGAUUCCUUCGAUAAGGUUGAUAGGCACGUCAAGGCCGCGGAUUCAGUUCUGGGAUUGGAGGAAGAAUUGGGCGUGAGCCAUGACGACAAUGUGAGUGAGGAAUUGGACACGACCAUCAUGGGCCCUUGGAUGAAACGAUGGGAGCUGGUCCAUCACAACAGACACACAGCUAAGUUUGAGAAGGAUGGGGACAAACAGAUCACUGCAAGCACAUGGCAUGCGUGGGAUAAAGCUUUGUGAGCUCGGCUGAGUCCAUUUAAGACUUCUAUAUCAGCAGUAUUUGUCUGAGACAGCAUUUGAAUAUGUUAUAUCUCCAUUCAGUGUUCGAAAACAAGACUUGUGAUCUCACAAUGGUAUUUUGGUUUGUUGACUUAUCAAUUCAUUAUUCAUUACCAAUUAAUUCAUUAUUCAUUACUAAUUAAAAGCGAAUCAAAAUGGCAUGCUUAAUUAUUGAUUAGGCAUAUAAGUUACCUAAUACCUAAAGCCGGUACGCUGUGCUAAAAGAAAAUCAAUGUAAUGGCUUUCUUCCUGCAAAACAACAUUUUCAAUGAAAAGAAAAAGUUGGAAACACUCACUUCACUCGGCACUCUAUUCAGUCCUCUAAAAAUAUUGCUUUGUUUAUAUGCCACAGUGCAAACUUUGAUAUACAUUAGUACAUGUACAGCGUUUGAAUUUGACACUUCUAUAUCAACAUUGUAACUUACUUAUUGUGUUACUUUCUGAUGUUCGAUUUUUAUUUCCAGUUGACGGCUAACGGACAGCUCAUAACUAUUCCAAAAAUAUAUUUCACUGGUGCCACAAAGCUUCAAAAUACUCAAUAAAACUAUUAAUAGUAAGUUAUGUUUUACAGGAAAACGGAAAUUAUCACAUUAAAGUUUGUGGAUUUAACAAAAACCAGUUGUAGAAGUUUAAAUAAAGACAUGCUCAGGGACUAAAAUUAUUACCAAUAAGUUAAAUAAAGUAUUGCAAAUGUUGACCCUGUUUAUACAAAAGGCAUGUGGUUUACCGGAGAGAUCAUGCAAUUAGAGAAAUAGAGAUAUGAAGGAGUUAUUCCGAACUAGUUCGUCUUGCUAGAAUUGGUGACUCAUGAAGAGAUCCUUACAUAAAAUCAAUAUUAGAUUAAUAAUUUAGUGUUUUUCUCCGGAGGUACUGUGAUGAAGUGGAGAAUUUAUUUCAAUGUAAUACUCAUCAGACAUCCCUCCGCCUGGGAAAAAAACUGGAAAAGUCACAGAAUUUUUUUUCAAUUUCAAGGCCUGCAAAAGUCAAGGAAAUGUGAAAAAAAGAAAAGAAAAAAAAAGACAAACGUCACAGAAAAGUCAUGGAAUUUUGUGAAUUAUAUGUACAUUUUUUACUUUUAUUUUUAAAUUUGUAAUCAUGUCCUUCAUGUCAUUCGUUAUAUAGAUUCUUGUUAAAUACGUUUUUUGUGAUAUGAUAUGCAAAUAAACCAUAACCAUAACAAU